UUUAUUUAUCCGCUUUUAGCCUACAAUCAGACAGAAUCGACACCAGUAGUCGCGGAUUUGGAACGGCCAACGCAAUUGGUAGAAGCACAGGUUCACGCAGCAGUGGACACCGAAAUAUACAACUUUCUACAGAACCCUGAAAGUCAACCAGAAGUGGUCACUGAGGCCCCGACGUCUUCAACGGAUACCGUUUCGGUACACUUUCCAAGUCUGAAGAAAAAACGCGAGAAUAGCAUUUCAGACUUCAACACGGAUCUUCUAGACGUGGAACUGGAUCGAGAAGCGCUGCUUCAACCUUCCGAGGAGGCACCGAGCCCCGGAGUCGCAACACCAUCAGAGGGCGCAACGCCAGGAGCAAUACCACCGACAAACGUGGAGGCCCAAGAAACCGAAAAAUCAGAACUGUGUAUGUUAAUUUUGUCGCUGUUGAACCGUGAGUUGGACGCUUCCAGACAACGUUUGAAUAUUUUAGAAAAAAUAUUAAAUGGCACUGAAACGCCCGCAAGAUACACGCUCUGAAUCUCAGAGUAAUAAAAGACACAAUGAUGAAAACCGGAUGUUGGAUGCUAAUCAUGAUACUAACGAUGACACUAACAGUUUAAACUUACAACAGCAGCAAGCAGAGGUUAACCCUCACCCGUUACACAUUAUUAAUGAUAUUAAUCAAGGCUCAAUAAACAUGAAUGCAGAGGAUGAACCUGUAGAGCAUGGGGAUGUUGAUGUGUUUGGGGGGCUGCUACGCGCUUUGGACGCUGUAAACCGUGCGAUAGGUAAUUACGUAGAACCAGAGAUUAGACCUAACAUUGUCGACAAUAACGUGCAUUCGGCUACAGAUAGUACUAAUGAUGACCAAAAUGGUGGAGGCCUUAACGAUACAGAGAUGCAGGUGAUACGCAGACCACAUUUCAACAAUACAGAAAUUAGGUUACGGUUGAACUUUGCAUCUUUGUACGAUGUGGACAACUACGCAGAGUUUUAUGUUCAUGUUUUAAACACCCUAGAACAUUUAAUGAACAAAGUUCACGAGUUGGCGUCCCCCCGACGAUGUUGUACAGUUAGAGUUGCGGGGGGAUUCUUUGUCUGAGCAGUAGUGAUGGGGCCCCUAAACCACACAGUUGUAGUCCACAGCUUUGCAACACCUGCAAGGCUGUGUUGACUCCUGAGAGUAGCCAUGUGUGUUUCAUACAAGGGGUGAAACCUGAAAGCCCCAGCCACCGUUACGUGUUUUAUGAUUUUGAGUGUCGGCAAGACCAAGGCCAACAUAUAGGCUAGCAAAUUUCAUAUGCUGUAUUGAUUUUAAUGGCGAGCGUUGGGUGGGAUCUGGCAAUAAAUGCGUAGAGGCUUUUUACCAAAGGUAUCGGACUCCAAAGUACAAGGGCUACACAUUCAUCGCACACAAUUCAAAGGCAUACGGCGGCUACCUGCUGAUGCAGUAUUUAAUUGACCAAGGCAUAACACCACAUCUAAUUAUACAGGGCUGCGGUUCCGAGUUUCGAUGUACCUUAACGUUUUACGAAGGCUCCUAAGGUAUACCUUUCAAAGGGAAACCGCUUUUUUACGAGUGUUUCCCAAACUAUACCUUAACAGUUGCCUUAAUGGACACCUCAAAGGUACAUCGUAAGUUGGAUCUGGCCUUCACUGUGGUGCUGAAAAGUUUAUCAAUCGAUGCCAAGCGAAUCGAUUGUCUCACUUGUAAAGGCUUGUGAAUGACGUUUUAAUAUAACAAGUGUUGUCAUAAUCAUUUUACAUCAAUCUAAUAUUGCAGAAGAGGAAGCUAUGC